GGGGGGCUAGCUCAGUGGUAGAGCGCAUGCUUAGCAUGCAUGAGGUCCCGGGUUCGAUUCCUGGGCUCUCCA